rnacentral:rRNA from 1 species
AGCGAACGCUGGCGGCAGGCUUAACACAUGCAAGUCGAGCGGGCGUAGCAAUACGUCAGCGGCAGACGGGUGAGUAACGCGUGGGAACGUACCUUUUGGUUCGGAACAACCCAGGGAAACUUGGGCUAAUACCGGAUAAGCCCUUACGGGGAAAGAUUUAUCGCCGAAAGAUCGGCCCGCGUCUGAUUAGCUAGUUGGUGUGGUAACGGCGCACCAAGGCGACGAUCAGUAGCUGGUCGAGAGGAUGAUCAGCCACAUUGGGACUGAGACACGGCCCAAACUCCUACGGGAGGCAGCAGUGGGGAAUAUUGGACAAUGGGCGCAAGCCUGAUCCAGCCAUGCCGCGUGAGUGAUGAAGGCCCUAGGGUUGUAAAGCUCUUUUGUGCGGGAAGAUAAUGACGGUACCGCAAGAAUAAGCCCCGGCUAACUUCGUGCCAGCAGCCGCGGUAA